rnacentral:lncRNA from 1 species
ACUGGCUGUUCUCUUCAUGGUCUAUCUCAAACUCGCUGGAGUUGUAGAAUUGAUGCGGUUCGACCAGUUGCUUAGAAGCUUACAAGUAUUUUAAAAGCUUUAGAUGAUGUAAUUUUGACUGGGAAAUUAUCAAAUGAAAGUCAUUCUGAAGCUGUUGCGCUAAAACGAUAUUUUUCAAGUUUCAAAGCAAUACUUUUUGCAACAGUGUGGUUUAAAAUUUUAGCUUUCAUUGACGAACGAAGCAAAAUAUUACAGUCUAGUACCAUAUCGAUUGAUAUUGCAAUAGCAAAUAUUAAGUCUCUUCUGAAAGAACUCGAACAUUUUAGAAAUAAGUGGCAAGAUGUUCUUUCUGAAGCUACACUUGUUGCAAUUGAAUUGGAUAUUACACCAAAUGUCGGAAAAACGAUCGAAAGCGAAGAGAAUAAAGUUAGUAGAUGAAGAAAGUAUAGAUAGGGAUGAUACACAAGGAUAUUUUAAAAGAACUGUAUAUUUUGUUAUACUGGAUACAAUUAUUUCCCAACUUCACAGGCGUUUCACAUCUUUAAAAAACAUACAGAAAUUAUUUUCACCAAUAUUAAAUUUUCAAACAAUGAAU